rnacentral:rRNA from 1 species
UAGGGAAUCUUCCACAAUGGACGCAAGUCUGAUGGAGCAACGCCGCGUGAGUGAAGAAGGUUUUCGGAUCGUAAAGCUCUGUUGUUGGUGAAGAAGGAUAGAGGUAGUAACUGGCCUUUAUUUGACGGUAAUCAACCAGAAAGUCACGGCUAACUACGUGCCAGCAGCCGCGGUAAUACGUAGGUGGCAAGCGUUGUCCGGAUUUAUUGGGCGUAAAGCGAGCGCAGGCGGAAGAAUAAGUCUGAUGUGAAAGCCCUCGGCUUAACCGAGGAACUGCAUCGGAAACUGUUUUUCUUGAGUGCAGAAGAGGAGAGUGGAAUUCCAUGUGUAGCGGUGGAAUGCGUAGAUAUAUGGAGGAACACCAGUGGCGAAGGCGACUCUCUGGUCUGCAACUGACGCUGAGGCUCGAAAGCAUGGGUAGCGAACAGG